rnacentral:rRNA from 1 species
UACGAAGGGAGCUAGCGUUGUUCGGAAUUACUGGGCGUAAAGGGCGCGUAGGCGGUUAAAUAAGUCAGAUGUGAAAGCCUUGGGCUUAACCUGAGAACAGCAUUUGAUACUGUUUGACUAGAGGACGAGAGAGGAAAGUGGAAUUACGAGUGUAGAGGUGAAAUUCGUAGAUAUUCGUAAGAACACCAGUGGCGAAGGCGACUUUCUGGCUCGUAUCUGACGCUAAGGCGCGAAAGCGUGGGGAGCAAACAGG